GAUGAACGCUGGCGGCGUGCCUAAUACAUGCAAGUCGAGCGAACGGACGAGAAGCUUGCUUCUCUGAUGUUAGCGGCGGACGGGUGAGUAACACGUGGAUAACCUACCUAUAAGACUGGGAUAACUUCGGGAAACCGGAGCUAAUACCGGAUAAUAUUUUGAACCGCAUGGUUCAAAAGUGAAAGACGGUCUUGCUGUCACUUAUAGAUGGAUCCGCGCUGCAUUAGCUAGUUGGUAAGGUAACGGCUUACCAAGGCAACGAUGCAUAGCCGACCUGAGAGGGUGAUCGGCCACACUGGAACUGAGACACGGCCCAGACUCCUACGGGAGGCAGCAGUAGGGAAUCUUCCGCAAUGGGCGAAAGCCUGGCGGAGCAACGCCGCGUGAGUGAUGAAGGUCUUCGGAUCGUAAAACUCUGUUAUUAGGGAAGAACAUAUGUGUAAGUAACUGUGCACAUCUUGACGGUACCUAAUCAGAAAGCCACGGCUAACUACG
rnacentral:rRNA from 1 species